rnacentral:snoRNA from 1 species
CCCCUCCCGUUUCCUUACCCAACAGCUCUUAACACUGGUCUGAGUGGUUAUCAAAGGAAGAACAGUAACAUUGAAACUGACUUCAGUUCUUUGGUGGCACCCAAACUAGUUUCCAACAAAC